UACAGAGGGGGCUAGCGUUGUUCGGAAUUACUGGGCGUAAAGGGUGCGUAGGCGGCUUUCCAAGUCAGGUGUGAAAUCCCGGGGCUUAACUCCGGAAUUGCACUUGAAACUAGAAAGCUGGAGGACGAGAGAGGAUAGUAGAAUUCCUAGUGUAGGAGUGAAAUCCGUAGAUAUUAGGAGGAAUACCAGUGGCGAAGGCGGCUAUCUGGCUCGUUUCUGACGCUGAGGCACGAAAGCGUGGGGAUCAAACAGG
rnacentral:rRNA from 1 species